UCCUGGAAUGCCACAAUUGAAGCACUUGCCUUUGAAUUUCAUCUUGGCUUUGAAAUUAGAAUUUCCUUCGCGCUUCCUUUUGUUGUUGUUGUUUGGCCUUUGUUCUACCACAUUAGCCUUUGCCUCAUAUAAAUUUUUCCCACUCUUCUUUUCAGAUACUCGAUUGUCCUCUUCAAUUCUAAGUCGAACAAUCAGUUCUUCAAGAUUCAUCUAUUUGCGUUUAUGCUUAAGAUAAUUCUUGAAGUCUUUCUAUGACGGUGCAAGUUUCUCAAUCAUUGCAGCAACUUGGAAUGAGUCACUUAAUGACAUUCCUUCAACAUGAAUAUCAUGUAGAAUUACUUGUAAUUCUUGAAUCUGUGUGAUGACUGCUUUAGAAUCUAACAUUUUAUAAUCAAGAAAUCUACCGACUAUGAAUUUCUUCAUACCAGCAUCUUCAGUUUUAUAUUUCUUGUCUAAAGAUUCUCAUAUUUCCUUUGCAGUUUGAAUUGUACAAUACACAUUGUACAGUGUAUUGUCCAUUCCAUUAAUCACAUAAUUUCUGGAAAGAAAAUCAGCAUGUUUCUAUGCAUCAACUGUAGCCAACUUUUCCUUGUCAGUUUCUCCUUCAACAAGAGUAGGACAAUCUUCUUGUAGAAACCUUAACAAAUUCAAUGUUGUGAGAUAGAAGAGCAUCUUUUGUUGCCAACGCUUGAAAUUAGUUCCAUUGAACCUUCCAGGCUUUUCUCCAUGAGACAAACUCACGGCAGGAAUAGUGCUAGUGGAUGCCAUUU
rnacentral:lncRNA from 1 species